UACGGAGGGUGCAAGCGUUAUCCGGAUUCACUGGGUUUAAAGGGUGUGUAGGCGGGCUGUUAAGUCAGUGGUGAAAUCUCCGGGCUCAACCCGGAAACUGCCAUUGAUACUAUCAGUCUUGAAUACCGUGGAGGUCAGCGGAAUAUGUCAUGCAGCGGUGAAAUGCUUAGAUAUGACAUAGAACACCAAUUGCGAAGGCAGCUGGCUACACGAAUAUUGACACUGAUGCACGAAAGCGUGGGGAUCAAACAGG
rnacentral:rRNA from 1 species